rnacentral:rRNA from 1 species
AUUGAACGCUGGCGGAAUGCUUUACACAUGCAAGUCGAACGGCAGCACGGGAGCAAUCCUGGUGGCGAGUGGCGAACGGGUGAGUAAAGUAUCGGAACGUGCCCAGUCGUGGGGGAUAACGUAGCGAAAGUUACGCUAAUACCGCAUACGAUCUAUGGAUGAAAGCGGGGGAUCGCAAGACCUCGCGCGAUUGGAGCGGCCGAUAUCAGAUUAGGUAGUUGGUGGGGUAAAGGCUCACCAAGCCGACGAUCUGUAGCUGGUCUGAGAGGACGACCAGCCACACUGGGACUGAGACACGGCCCAGACUGCUACGGGAGGCAGCAGUGGGGAAUUUUGGACAAUGGGCGAAAGCCUGAUCCAGCCAUGCCGCGUGCAGGAUGAAGGCCUUCGGGUUGUAAACUGCUUUUGUACAGAACGAAAAGGUUUCUACUAAUACUAGGAGCUCAUGACGGUACUGUAAGAAUAAGCACCGGCUAACUACGUGCCAGCCGCCGCCGUAA